GGGUUAGUAGGUUGGUCAUGCCUCUGGUAUGUACUGGUCUCACUGAUUCCUCCUUCCUGAUGAGCCGUAAUGCCAUUAAUUUGGUGUUUUGGGGAAUUUGGACUGUUACUUUGAAAAAAUUAGAGUGUUUAAAGCAAGCUAACGCUUGAAUACAUUAGCAUGGAAUAAUGAAAUAGGACGUUCGAUCCUAUUUUGUUGGUUUAGAGCCUAAGUA
rnacentral:rRNA from 1 species